CUUGCUUUCUCCGCCGGCGACCGGCGCACGGGUGAGUAACACGUAUCCAACCUGCCUCAUACUCGGGGAUAGCCUUUCGAAAGAAAGAUUAAUACCCGAUGUUAUAGUCCUACCGCAUGAUGGGAUUAUUAAAGAAUUUCGGUAUGGGAUGGGGAUGCGUUCCAUUAGUUAGUUGGCGGGGUAACGGCCCACCAAGACAACGAUGGAUAGGGGUUCUGAGAGGAAGGUCCCCCACAUUGGAACUGAGACACGGUCCAAACUCCUACGGAAGGCAGCAG
rnacentral:rRNA from 1 species